rnacentral:rRNA from 1 species
GACGUAGGGCGCGAGCGUUGUCCGGAUUUAUUGGGCGUAAAGAGCUCGUAGGCGGCUUGUCGCGUCGAAUGUGAAAACCCGAGGCUCAACUUCGGGCUUGCAUUCGAUACGGGCAGGCUGGAGUUCGGUAGGGGAGACUGGAAUUCCGGGUGUAGUGGUGAAAUGCGUAGAUAUCCGGAGGAACACCGAAGGCGUAGGCAGUGUCCUGGGGAGUACCUGACGCUCAGGUGCGAAAGCCAGGGGAGCGAACGGG